rnacentral:rRNA from 1 species
UACGGAGGGAGCUAGCGUUGUUCGGAAUUACUGGGCGUAAAGCGCACGUAGGCGGCUUUGUAAGUUAGAGGUGAAAGCCCGGGGCUCAACUCCGGAACUGCCUUUAAGACUGCAUCGCUUGAAUCCGGGAGAGGUGAGUGGAAUUCCGAGUGUAGAGGUGAAAUUCGUAGAUAUUCGGAAGAACACCAGUGGCGAAGGCGGCUCACUGGCCCGAUACUGACGCUGAGGCACGAAAGCGUGGGGAGC